GGACGGGUGAGUAAUGUCUGGGAAACUGCCUGAUGGAGGGGGAUAACUACUGGAAACGGUAGCUAAUACCGCAUAACGUCGCAAGACCAAAGAGGGGGACCUUCGGGCCUCUUGCCAUCAGAUGUGCCCAGAUGGGAUUAGCUAGUAGGUGGGGUAACGGCUCACCUAGGCGACAUCCCUAGCUGGUCUGAGAGGAUGACCAGCCACACUGGAACUGAGACACGGUCCAGACUCCUACGGGAGGCAGCAUG
rnacentral:rRNA from 1 species